rnacentral:rRNA from 1 species
GGAUUCCCCUAGUAACGGCGAGUGAAGCGGGAAGAGCUCAAAUUUAAAAUCUGGCGGUGUAUUCCGUCCGAGUUGUAGUCUAGAGAAGCAUCAUCCGCGCCGGACCAUGUACAAGUCUCUUGGAACAGAGCGUCAUAGAGGGUGAGAAUCCCGUCCUUGACAUGGACUCCCGGUGCUUUGUGUUGUGCUCUCAACGAGUCGAGUUGUUUGGGAAUGCAGCUCAAAAUGGGUGGUAAAUUCCAUCUAAAGCUAAAUAUUGGCGAGAGACCGAUAGCGAACAAGUACCGUGAGGGAAAGAUGAAAAGCACUUUGGAGAGAGAGUUAAACAGUACGUGAAAUUGUUGAAAUGGAAACGCUUGAAGUCAGUCGCGUUCUCUGGGAUUCAGCCUGGCUUCUGCCUGGUGCAUUUCCUAGUCUACGGGCCAGCAUGAAUUUCGACCGAUAGAAAAGGGCUUGAGGAAUGUGGCACCUUCGGGUGUGUUAUAGCCUCUUGUCGUAUGUGUCGGUUGGGAUUGAGG